rnacentral:snRNA from 1 species
AUUGCUUCUCAGCCUUUUGGCUAAGAUCAAGUGUAGUAACACUUUCAAGUUAGUAUUGCUCUAUGCCAAAAUAAUGAUCUUGAGUCCUGUUUACUUUAACAAAGCUUCCCAGGUGCUUCAUUAACAGUUUGAACGAUGUUUCCAAUAGGACAUUUUCUUGUGCUCUAAGUU